rnacentral:other from 1 species
CUCCCUCUGCGGAGACUCGCUAGCACAACAGUAACGAAUCCCGCUAAUUAUUACCCUAGGGAAGUAAGAUGUGGAGCGGAGAGCUGCGCCCGACUCGAAUUCGUCGGGAAGCCAGAAACUUCACACGCGCUGCCCACCUUUUUAUCAUGGGGUUCGGAACUGUAGUUUUUCGCGGCGGUCUUUGCGGUCAGGAGUC